rnacentral:rRNA from 1 species
UACGGAGGGUGCAAGCGUUGUCCGGAAUCACUGGGCGUAAAGGGCGCGUAGGCGGCUCAUGAAGGCUGUGGUGAAAGUCCGGGGCUCAACCUCGGAUCGGCCGUGGCGACUCGUGGGCUGGAGCACUGUAGAGGCGGGUGGAAUUCCGGGUGUAGCGGUGGAAUGCGUAGAGAUCCGGAAGAACACCAGUGGCGAAGGCGGCCCGCUGGGCAGUGGCUGACGCUGAGACACGAAAGCGUGGGUAGCAAACAGG